rnacentral:rRNA from 1 species
AGCGAACGCUGGCGGCAGGCCUAACACAUGCAAGUCGAACGGAUCCUUCGGGAUUAGUGGCGGACGGGUGAGUAACACGUGGGAACGUGCCCUUUGGUUCGGAACAACUCAGGGAAACUUGAGCUAAUACCGGAUGUGCCCUUCGGGGGAAAGAUUUAUCGCCAUUGGAGCGGCCCGCGUCUGAUUAGCUAGUUGGUGAGGUAAAGGCUCACCAAGGCGACGAUCAGUAGCGGGUCUGAGAGGAUGAUCAGCCACAUUGGGCCUGAGGCACGGCCCAAACUCCUACGGGAGGCAGCAGUGGGGAAUCUUGCGCAAUGGGCGGAAGCCUGACGCAGCCAUGCCGCGUGAAUGAUGAAGGUCUUAGGAUUGUAAAAUUCUUUCACCGGGGACGAUAAUGACGGUACCCGGAGAAGAAGCCCCGGCUAACUUCGUGCCAGCCGCCGCCGUAAAAC